rnacentral:rRNA from 1 species
CACUUCUAAGGAAGGCAGCAGGCGCGCAAAUUACCCAAUCCUGACUCAGGGAGGUAGUGACAAGAAAUAACAAUAAACCGGCUUAUGCCGGUUUAAUUGGAAUGAGUACAAUUUAAACAUCUUAACGAGGAACAAUUGGAGGGCAAGUCUGGUGCCAGCAGCCGCGGUAAUUCCAGCUCCAAUAGCGUAUACUAAAGUUGCUGCAGUUAAAAAGCUCGUAGUUGGAUUUCUGUGGGGACGGAGCGGCCGGCCGCACAUCGCGGUUCGAGCUAGCGCUUUCCCUACAUCCUGCCGCGAACCGUGCUACCAUUAAUUUGGUGGCGCCGGGGAUCGGCUCGAUUACUUUGAGAAAAAUAGAGUGUUCAAAGCAGGCCACAUGCCUUGAAUAAGUUAGCAUGGAAUAAUAACUAAGGACUUCGGUUCUAUUUUGUUGGUGUUCGGGACUGAAGUAAUGAUUGAUAGGGACAGUUGGGGCGGUCUGUAUUCCAAAGCGAGAGGUGAAAUUCUUAGACCUUCGGAAGACAAACAGCCGCGAAAGCGUUCCGCAAGGAUGUUCCCUUUGAUCAAGAACGAAAGUCGGGGGAUCGAAGACGAUCAGAUACCGUCGUAGUCUCAACUAUAAACUAUACCAGCUAGGGAUCGGCCAACGUUAUUUAAACCGACUUGGUCGGCACCUUAUGAGAAAUCAAAGCAUCUGGGUUCCGGGGGGAGUAUGGUCGCAAGGCUGAAACUUAAAGGAAUUGACGGAAGGGCACCACCAGCCGUGGAGCCUGUGGCUUAAUUUGACUCAACACGGGAAAACUUACCAGGUCCAGACAUAGUAAGGAUUGACAGAUUGAUAGCUCUUUCUUGAUUCUGUGGGUGGUGGUGCAUGGCCGUUCUUAGUUGGUGGAGUGAUUUGUCUGGUUAAUUCCGUUAACGAACGAGACCCCAGCCUGCUAAAUAGCGCGCGUGAGCUUUGCUCGCGGCGAGCUUCUUAGAGGGACUCUGAUGCGCGAUAGCACAUGGAAGUUUGGGGCAAUAACAGGUCUGUGAUGCCCUUAGAUGUUCUGGGCCGCACACGGGCUACACUGGCGCCUGCAACGAGCAUAUCAGCUGGCCCGAGAGGGUCUUGGCUAAUCUUUUGAACCGGCGCCGUGCUUGGGAUUGACCUUUGCAAUUGUUGGUCAUGCAACGAGGAAUGCCUUGUAAACGCGAGUCAUCAGCUCGCAUUGAAUACGUCCCUGCCCUUUGUACACACCGCCCGUCGCUCCUACCGAUGAAUGUUCCGAUGAAAUUUUCGGAGAGUGCCUGUGAACUUGGCUCUGCCUUGCGAACGGGAGGCUCAAAGUCACUUAAAUCUGAACAUUUCGA